UUUCUGUUUGAGUCAAAGACAUUAGCAUUUUUUAGAGCCAGCCAGCCGGAAGUGGGCUCUCCAACCUUCCCUCCACAGCUUCUCUGUGCAUCUCACCGUGGCACCUUCACUUUCUGCCCCUACCAUGUGAUUUUGUAGAUGUGGUGUCCACAGGCUGAGCUUUGGCCUCACCCAGACCUGGGAUUGGGUCCCAGCCACACCAUUUCUAGCCGUGUGAUCUUGGCCUCACGACUUAGCCUCUCUCAGCUUCCCUUUCCUCAUCUAUAAUACUAAUUUGGGGGAAAAUAAUAGCUCUGUACUUUUAUUGGUGGGGCUGUUAGGGAGAUUAGUGAGAUGAUACAUACCAUAGUCCCUUGCAUAAGUUUCAAAUAAUGUUACCUGCCACAGUCCCUUGCAAAAGUGCUAAAGGCAAGUCCCUUGCAAAAGUGCUAAAUAAAUGUUAACUUCCUUUUUUUAAGUUUUUUUUUUUUUUGAGACCAAGUCUCUCUGUCACCCAAGCUGGAGUGCAGUGGCAUGAUAUCGGCUCACUGCAAUCUUCACCUUCCUGGUUUGAAUGAUCUUCCUGCCUCAGCCUCCUGAGUAGCUGGGAUUACAGGCACCUGCCACCACACCCAGCUAAUUUUUGUAUUUUUAGUAGAGACAGGGUUUCACCAUGUUGGCCAGGCUGGUCUCAAAUGUCUGACCUCAGGUGAUCGGCCUGCCUCAGCCUCCCAAAGUGCUGGAAUUACAGGGGUGAGCCACUGUGCCCAGCCAUAAAUGUUAACUUCUAUAAUAUUAUUUUUGUUAUUGUUACUUAUCUCCUUACUUAUGUAUUUUUCAUUAUUCAAGGGCAAGGACCAUUUUUCCCCUUCUCCUCUUACCCUCCUCCUUGUUCUAAAUAGGACUUAUGGCAAAUUUCAGCAAGUUGAUGAGAAAAAUAGAGGGAAAAUGAAGAUAUAAACAUAAAAUGGAGCCAGCAGAGACUAAUACAGAAAGUACAUCCUUACUUUAGUGGGUCACAGGAUUGGCUCUAAGCUUCCUAGCACCCAAUGAGAUGAAAGAAACUGAAUUAGUUACAUAAUGUAACACUGUUGUCCAUGAAAUAAAACAAGCGAAUAGCUCAGGAGAAACACACCUGGGCGACAUUCUUUUUUUCCUUCUCACUUCCUUCUUGACCUUGUGAUUCAUUUUGCUGAAGGGAAGACCAUUUGUUGGAAAGUGUUUCUGAAUGCGAUGGGAGUCCUGGCCCUUGGUAGAGGCCCACCCCUCGCUGUCUUCAGCUGAUCUGUUAGUAAUAGAGAAGAUCUAGUUCCUGGCCCAGAGAACUGAUCCUGCAAUAGGGCUGUGUUUUUGAAACCAAAAGCGUCAUACAGAUAACAAAGGAGAUGUGUCUCACUGUGGUUAGGCUAUUUUGUAGCAACACUUGUUUCCACUCUUUUGCAAUUUCAGGUUCUGUCAGACUUGAUCUAAACAUGAAUGUGCAAGUCCAGUGCUCAGGCUGAUAUAACCACUGUCUGGGCCCUGAGUUGAUUUGAAUUUCCACUUCCAAUCUGUGGUGCAACGUAUGUAACACAGCAAAUCAGUAAGGCUUUAUCAAGCACUUUCUUUGUGCAAGGCCCCUGUCCCAGGCCCUGCCUGGGAACCUUGCUUCCAGCUUGAGGGGAUGGAGACUCAAGAAGUUAAAGAAAAUUUACCCAAGGUCACAGAGCUAGAAAGUGGCAGGAGUCCGGCUUCAAAAUUCAGAUGACUACACACCCCAGUUCCCUCUCAGCCAGGCCACCUUCCUUAGAGAACAACCAAACCCACACCAAAAGGUGAACACAAGCUGAAUCACCAGGACUCAUCAGCAGCGAGGCUUCCUUGGUCCUUUCCCUAGAAAUUCAGGCUCCUGUACUGAAAAAAAUGAAGCAGCUGGAAGCAGUCUUGAGCCCAUAAAUCUGUACCCACUGCAGGGGUCCCGAACUUUUUGUGGGGGGCACACCCCUUUGAAAAUCUAAUAAAAUGAUCAACCCUCUCUUGGGGAAAAAAAGCAGACAUCCAAAUUUUGGCUGACAAUUUCAGGGAAAUGAAUGGACUUCCCCAAGCUCAUUCAGGAAGCUCUGGGGGUCACUGGCCUAUGUUAAGCACUGCUGGUCUGUCCAGAAGCCUCUAUGACUGCACCGUUCAGUGCUGCAGCCUCUCAUCACAUGAGGCCCUGAGCUUGUGCAGGGUGGCAAGUGUGAACUGAAAGGUGCUAUAGACAUGGAGUGCACACUGGAUUUUGAAGACUUAAUAGGAAAGAAGAACGUAAAAUAUCUCAUGACUAAUUUUUAUACUAAUUAUAUAUUAAAAGAUAAGUUGGGACUGGGCGCAGUGGCUCAUGCUGGUAAUCUCAGCACUUUGGGAGGCGGAGUGGGCGGAUCACGAGGUCAAGAGCUCAACACCAGCCUGACCAACAUGGUGAAACCCCGUCUCUACUAAAAAUACAAAAAGUAGCCGUGCAUGGUGGCACGUGCCUGUAAUCCCAGCUACUCAGGAGGCUGAGGCAGGAGAAUCGCUUGAACCUGGGAGGUGGAGGAUGCAGUGAGCCGAGAUCGCACCACUGCUCUCCAGCCUGGGUGACAGAGCGAGACUUGGUCUCGAAAAAAAAAGAGAAAAAGAUAAGUUGGAUAUUUGGGGUCAAAUAAAAUAUGUUAUUAAAAUUAAUUUCACCUGUUUCUCUUUACUUUUUAAAAGUGUGGCUAGAACAUUUGAAAUGCAGUAUGUGACCGGCAUUAUGUAUGGACUGGUCCCCGCUGCUCUGUGAUGACACCCUGGAGGCAUGGCCUCAUGGCCGGACCUCUAAAGUCAGUGUAGGCCCUUCACGGAAAGCCCAGCACUUCCUCUUUCUGGAAGUUGUAGUUAAGAGAAUGGGCAGGGAAAUCUUC
rnacentral:lncRNA from 1 species